rnacentral:rRNA from 1 species
GACGAACGCUGGCGGCGUGCUUAACACAUGCAAGUCGAACGGAAAGGCCUUUUCGGAGGUACUCGAGUGGCGAACGGGUGAGUAACACGUGGGUGAUCUGCCCUGCACUCUGGGAUAAGCCUGGGAAACUGGGUCUAAUACCGGAUAGGACCGCACUUUAGUGUGUGUGGUGGCAAGUUUUUUCGGUGUAGGAUGAGCCCGCGGCCUAUCAGCUUGUUGGUGGGGUAAUGGCCUACCAAGGCGGCGACGGGUAGCCGGACUGAGAGGUUGGUCGGCCACAUUGGGACUGAGAUACGGCCCAGACUCCUACGGGAGGCAGCAGUGGGGAAGAUUGCACAAUGGGCGCAAGCCUGAUGCAGCGACGCCGCGUGGGGGAUGACGGCCUUCGGGUUGUAAACUCCUUUCGCCAGGGACGAAGCGUUUUGUGACGGUACCUGGAGAAGAAGCACCGGCUAACUACGUG